UACGGGGGGAGCAAGCGUUGUUCGGAUUUACUGGGCGUAAAGGGCGCGUAGGCGGUCAGCGCAAGUCAGUUGUGAAAUCUCUGGGCUUAACCCAGAACGGUCAACUGAUACUGCGCGACUAGAGUGCAGAAGGGGCAACUGGAAUUCUCGGUGUAGCGGUGAAAUGCGUAGAUAUCGAGAGGAACACCUGCGGCGAAGGCGGGUUGCUGGGCUGACACUGACGCUGAGGCGCGAAAGCCAGGGGAGCAAACGGG
rnacentral:rRNA from 1 species